rnacentral:rRNA from 1 species
AGAGUUUGAUCCUGGCUCAGGAUAAACGCUGGCGGCAUGCCUAAUACAUGCAAGUCGAACGGAGGUGCUUGCACCUCAGUGGCGAACGGGUGAGUAACACGUAUCUAAUCUACCUUCUAGCGGGGGAUAACUUUUGGAAACGAAAGGUAAUACCGCAUGUGGAUGUUAUUAUCGCAUGAGAAAACAUUCAAAGAUCCGUUUGGAUCACUAGAAGAUGAGGAUGCGGCGUAUUAGCUAGUAGGCGGGGUAAAGGCCCACCUAGGCGAUGAUACGUAGCCGAACUGAGAGGUUGAUCGGCCACAUUGGGACUGAGAUACGGCCCAGACUCCUACGGGAGGCAGCAGUAGGGAAUUUUUCACAAUGGACGAAAGUCUGAUGAAGCAAUGCCGCGUGAGUGAUGACGGCCUUCGGGUUGUAAAGCUCUGUUGUAAGGGAAGAAAACAUAGGAGAGGAAAUGCUCUUAUCUUGACGGUACCUUACCAGAAAGCCACGGCUAACUAUGUGCCAGCAGCCGCGGUAAUACAUAGGUGGCAAGCGUUAUCCGGAUUUAUUGGGCGUAUAGGGUGCGUAGGCGGUUUCGCAAGUUUGAGGUUAAAGCCCGGAGCUCAACUCCGGUUCGCCUUGAAAACUGCGGGACUAGAAUAUCAGAGAGGUAAGCGGAAUUCCAUGUGUAGCGGUAAAAUGCGUAGAUAUAUGGAAGAACACCAGUGGCGAAAGCGGCUUACUGGCUGAUUAUUGACGCUGAGGCACGAAAGCGUGGGGAGCAAAUAGGAUUAGAUACCCUAGUAGUCCACGCCGUAAACGUUGAGUACUAAGUAUUGGGGAUUACCUCAGUGCUGCAGCUAACGCAUUAAGUACUCCGCCUGAGUAGUAUGCUCGCAAGAGUGAAACUCAAAGGAAUUGACGGGGACCCGCACAAGUGGUGGAGCAUGUGGUUUAAUUCGAAGCAACACGAAGAACCUUACCAGGGCUUGACAUACAGUGCAAAGCUACAGAGAUGUAGUGGAGGUUAACAUUGAUACAGGUGGUGCAUGGUUGUCGUCAGUUCGUGCCGUGAGGUGUUGGGUUAAGUCCCGCAACGAACGCAACCCUUGUCGUUAGUUACUAACAUUAAGUUGAGGACUCUAACGAGACUGCUAGUGUAAGCUAGAGGAAGGUGGGGAUGACGUCAAAUCAUCAUGCCCCUUAUGUCCUGGGCUACACACGUGCUACAAUGGCCGAUACAAAGAGUCGCAAUCUCGCGAGGGGGAGCUAAUCUCAAAAAGUCGGUCUCAGUUCGGAUUGAAGUCUGCAACUCGACUUCAUGAAGCCGGAAUCACUAGUAAUCGCGAAUCAGCUAUGUCGCGGUGAAUACGUUCUCGGGUCUUGUACACACCGCCCGUCAAACCACGAGAGUUGGUAAUACCAGAAGUACGUUUCCUAACCGUAAGGAAGGCGCGUCCCAAGGUAGGACUAGCGAUUGGGGUUAAGUCGUAACAAGGUAUCCGUACGGGAACGUGCGGAUG